UCCUCCACCUGGCUGUGGUAAAAAUAAAUCAAAACUGAAAUCAGAACAGGAUGGGAUCUCCAAAACUCACAAGCUACUGAGAAGGACUUACUCUAGAACAGUUAAGGCAGAGGAUGUGUGUGCCACAAAAUCUCACAGAACCUUUGGAUGCUCAUUGUUGAGUGAUGCUAGGGCAGAACAGACAAUAGCUAUUAAAUCACACAAACUGUUGAACCGUUCUUGCUCUUCAGUUGUCAAGCAGGAGGAGUGCAUCACUUUAAAGCCACAUAAGCUAUUAAGUAGGUCAUGUUCUGGGGACCCUCGAUGUGAACACAACAGCACCUUGAAGUCCCACAAAUUUUUAAGCAGGUCCUACUCCAGUAAUCUUAGAAUGGAAGAAUUGGAUGGAUUGAAGAACCACAAAUUACUCAGCAAGACUUACUCCAAUGCCCCUAAAUCAUCCAGAAUGAAGCCUUUGAAAGAGUUCACCACAGCAGAGGGCAGGAGUCUCUCUCUUACCUCAGGGCUUAUUGGGAUAUUAACAUCAUCUUCCUCAUCUCCUUCACAAACUGCUCAAAAUUAUGGUGCAAAAUGCAUUUUGGUACAAGACCGUGGCUUUCUUGUGCAGACAAUUGAAUUUGCUGAGCAGCGGAUACCAGUAUUGAAUGAAUACUGUGUAGUCUGUGACGAACCCCAUGUGUUCCAGAAUGGCCCUAUGCUGAGGG